rnacentral:lncRNA from 1 species
ACAUGAAAAUUAUCUUCCCCAAUGUAACAUUUGGGUAUAUGAGUACAAAAGUUAAAAAUGCAACUCCUAAGUGGAGCUGCAAUACAUUUAAAUCUUUCUCUGACAAACUCAAGAAAAGGUUUAAUCUCCACGUCGCUCGCAUCAGCUUCCUUCCCACAUUCUUUCUCUUUGAUUAUGUCUCCAUUGAUAAUACAUUUAAAUCUUUCUCUGACAAACUCAAGAAAAGGUUUAAUCUCCACGUCGCUCGCAUCAGCUUCCUUCCCACAUUCUUUCUCUUUGAUUAUGUCUCCAUUGAUAUCUUCACUCUGCUUCAUCGAUUCAUUUUC